GACGAACGCUGGCGGCGUGCCUAAUACAUGCAAGUUGAGCGCUGAAGGUUGGUACUUGUACCAACUGGAUGAGCAGCGAACGGGUGAGUAACGCGUGUGGAAUCUGCCUUUGAGCGGGGGACAACAUUUGGAAACGAAUGCUAAUACCGCAUAAAAACUUUAAACACAAGUUUUAAGUUUGAAAGAUGCAAUUGCAUCACUCAAAGAUGAUCCCGCGUUGUAUUAGCUAGUUGGUGAGGUAAAGGCUCACCAAGGCGAUGAUACAUAGCCGACCUGAGAGGGUGAUCGGCCACAUUGGGACUGAGACACGGCCCAAACUCCUACGGGAGGCAGCAGUAGGGAAUCUUCGGCAAUGGACGAAAGUCUGACCGAGCAACGCCGCGUGAGUGAAGAAGGGUUUCGGAUCGUAAAACUCUGUUGGUAGAGAAGAACGUUGGUGAGAGUGGAAAGCUCAUCAAGUGACGGUAACUACCCAGAAAGGGACGGCUAACUACGUG
rnacentral:rRNA from 1 species